rnacentral:lncRNA from 1 species
UUAUUUUUUACAUUCACUUGAUGAAAGUGGAUUAAGUGAGGGGAAAAGCCUAUUGUAAAGGUUACCACAAAAUUGUUUCUAUUUGGCUGCAAACUCUGGGAUUCCUGCAUUGAAAACUUUGAUGAUCAUCAAACCAGAGAUAGGUAGGGCAGCAUCCUCCCCGCUUUGCAAAUGGAAAUUGAAUCCCUGGAUUUUUAAUAUUCCUGCCGGACUGUUAAUGUACAGGGAACUCUCAUGGAUAGUCUACAUUCUUUAUAAAUUAAUAAACCCUCUAUUGAGGAUACUUUCAUCUUUGUAGAUGCAGCCCACAGAAUACAAUAAAUCGUUUCACUUUUAUUUGGUAAUGUGAUUUUUAUUGAGCAAUGAAUCCUUUGUAUAUAAGUCAGAAGUUUAUUGAAUAAAAAGGAAAUGUCUUAAUAGUAAGCACUUGUAUCAUCAUGGCAUAAAUAAGCUUUGAAGUUUCACAUUAAGAACUUUGUUCUACUAUAUUUAGUGGUACUGAAAAGUAGUGGAGGGAUCUACAAAGCAGACAAGCUUUAGGAAAACAUUUUAAGGUUUUUGCAGAAUAAUUUAAAUUUAAUUUUAAAAGAAGAUGGAAUUCUUUGGGAUUUUUUACUUGGGGUGAAUAAAAGCAAGCAUGCAAGUGCUAGGUCAAAAGACAUGGCAUUUACUGUUGGAGAGUAAGUACUAUUGCUUUACAGGCCAUUCAAAGAUAAGCCUUGUGGCUAAACAUUGCAUAAACUUGACCUUGGCUCACAGAUUUUAGCUUCCAUACUUUACUCUUCCCAUCUCAAAAGAAUAACCAGUCGUGAUUACCAUGACCGCACUGUUAGGAAUGACUAACACCAUUUUUCCCGUUUAUUUACCCUAUUGGGUCAUAUUAUCUUAAGGAACACUGGAUAACUGUGUGUGAUGCCGGUGACUCCUUGGCCAUCAGUGGAACACAGUCAGUCUGAACUUGCAUGCAUGCCACAUGAAUGAUCCAGAUCGCCAUAUGCAGCUGUGACGCUGGUCAAAGCAGCAUGUCAUGUUUCUAAUAAGCCUGUAUGUUAUUAUAAUACAGAACAUACAGUCAUAAUACAGAACAGGUCACUUACCUUAGUUUGCACAUGCUGCCCUUUGUAGUCAGCUCCUUCCCUUAUUCCCAACCUUUGAUAACCACUGUUCUUCAUCCCUAUAGUUUUGUCUUCUCCAGAAUGUCAUCUAAAAGGACUCAUACGGUAUGCAGCCUUUGGGGUCUGGUUUAUUUCAAUGAGCAAAUAUGCAUUUGAGAUUCCUCCAUGUUGUUGGAUAAAAUCACUUAAUAUUCAUAUUCAUAUACCACACCUGCAUAGUUUAGAUUCUGCUCUGGUGAAUCCCUUGAAUACUGUUAUUAGCUUUUUUAUUGCAGUAUAACAAAUUACCAUAAACUUACAGGCUUAAAACAAUUCCCAUUAUAACCUCAAAUUUUCCAUGGGUCUGGAAUCCAUCCUCUGUCUAAGGUCUCACCAAGUUGCGACCAAUGUUGUCCAGGGCUACAAUCUCACCUGAGGCUCAUGGUCCUCUUCUAAGCUCAUUGGCUGUUGGCAGAAUUCCGCUGUAGGACCAAGGCCUCUGUUGUCUUGCUGGCUGUCAGCUGAGCAUCUCUCUCAGCUCCUCAGCUAUCUCAGGCUGCUGCUUCCUGCCAUGUGGCCCACUCUACAAUAUAGCUAUUUGCUUCUCCGAGGCUAGCAAAAGUAUGUCUCUCUUGCUUCAAAUCUCUCCCUGCCCCAAAUGCUUGGACCCUACCCUCUUUUUAAAAGCUUGCCUGAUUAGACUGGAUCCACCCAGGAAAAUAUUCCUCUUUGUUAAUUCAAAGUCAACUGGGUAGGAACCUUAAUGACAUCUACAAAAGUCGCUUUACCUUUGCCACAUAAUGUAAUCUAGUCACAGAAGUAAAGUCGUAUCAUAUUCCCACACAUUGCCCACACAACGGGGAGGGGAUUAUUCAGGGUUUGUACACUAGGAUGCACAGAUCUGGGGGACUAUCUUAAACAUUCUACGUAUCAUAAUAUCCUACUCCUUCCUACCAAUUUAAAUGCUUCUCAAAAUCUCUCUCACAUCCCACUUCUUUACAAAGUCUUUCAAUGCUCAUUUUCG